rnacentral:misc_RNA from 1 species
UCCACAUGGUUGGGCAGUCACUG